GAAGACGGCCAUAGGCUAGGGGAAACGCCUGGUCCCAUUCCGAACCCAGAAGCUAAGCCCUAGCCGUUGUAGACUGUACUGCCGAAAGGCGGGAACUCUACAAGCCGUCUUCU
rnacentral:rRNA from 1 species